AACUAAUCAAUUCUCUUUCCGGCUCAGACUGCAUUGGUUAAGCUUAUGGGGCUGUCACUGUCACGUGAUGAACG